GGAUGUAAGGGUGAUCUGGCUGUGACAUCUGUCACCCCAUUGAUCGCCAGGGUUGAUUUGGCUGAUCUGGCUGGCUAGGUGGGUGUCCCCUUCCUCCCUCAAUACUCCAUGUGUGUCUGUCCAGAAGCUGCAUGCUUGGUCAAAGAGGACAACCACCCCCAAUAGAGGAGGACUGUUCCUUCGUCAAGGGUAUACCUGUAGCUGCGCUUCCCUGCUAGAACCUCCAAACAAACUCUCAAGGUGGCAGAAGACAGCAAAAGCAACAAGAGCACAAGAGGGUGAGAGCAAGCCUCUUUUUCUACCUUAUAUUG
rnacentral:snRNA from 1 species